rnacentral:rRNA from 1 species
GAUGAACGCUGGCGGCGUGCCUAAUACAUGCAAGUCGAGCGAACGGACGAGAAGCUUGCUUCUCUGAUGUUAGCGGCGGACGGGUGAGUAACACGUGGAUAACCUACCUAUAAGACUGGGAUAACUUCGGGAAACCGGAGCUAAUACCGGAUGAUAUUUUGAACCGCAUGGUUCAAAAGUGAAAGACGGUCUUGCUGUCACUUAUAGAUGGAUCCGCGCUGCAUUAGCUAGUUGGUAAGGUAACGGCUUACCAAGGCAACGAUGCAUAGCCGACCUGAGAGGGUGAUCGGCCACACUGGAACUGAGACACGGUCCCGACUCCUACGGGAGGCAGCAGUAGGGAAUCUUCCGCAAUGGGCGAAAGCCUGACGGAGCAACGCCGCGUGAGUGAUGAAGGUCUUCGGAUCGUAAAACUCUAUUAUUAGGGAAGAACAUAUGUGUAAGUAACUGUGCACAUCUUGACGGUACCUAAUCAGAAAGCCACGGCUAACUACGUG